rnacentral:lncRNA from 1 species
UGAAACUAUAUUUUAUAAAAUCUCAAAAUGCGUGCAAACAGUAAAUAUAAACAAUCCGAUGAGAUUGAGGGAGUAUAUAAUUUCACGAAGUCAUAUUCCUCGAAUUCAGGUACUAUCCUCAACUCUCAAGUCUCAAGAAAGAAAUAUUUCCUUAAAACAACCGCCUCGAAAGAUCCAGGCUUCUCUAAAACCUUCUGUGAAGCAUUCAUUAUUCACAUCAAAAGCAAAAGUUUCUACUCUAUCCAGAUAAUUUAACUCUCUUAACACAUGAGCAGGUCUCCACAGCCCUGGUUGCAAUACCAUGGGGAUAGCUAGGUACUGGGACUGGUUAACAGAAUUUAAGAAGCUUACAGCAUCAUCCUUAGAAUCGAAGUGUCCCGUCACCAGAAUUGUGUAGUUUCCAGCCCAAAUCGAAGUGUCCCGUCAACAGAAUUGUGUAGUUUCCAGCCCACACCACAAAAUCAUCAACGGCCGAGACAUAGAAUUUCCUGAGAGUAAUUUCUGC